UGGGGAAUUUUGGACAAUGGGCGAAAGCCUGAUCCAGCAAUGCCGCGUGUGCGAUGAAGGCCUUCGGGUUGUAAAGCACUUUUGGCAGGAAAGAAACGUCGCGGGUUAAUACCCCGCGAAACUGACGGUACCUGCAGAAUAAGCACCGGCUAACUACGUGCCAGCAGCCGCGGUAAUACGUAGGGUGCAAGCGUUAAUCGGAAUUACUGGGCGUAAAGCGUGCGCAGGCGGUUCGGAAAGAAAGAUGUGAAAUCCCAGAGCUUAACUUUGGAACUGCAUUUUUAACUACCGGGCUAGAGUGUGUCAGAGGGAGGUGGAAUUCCGCGUGUAGCAGUGAAAUGCGUAGAUAUGCGGAGGAACACCGAUGGCGAAGGCAGCCUCCUGGGAUAACACUGACGCUCAUGCACGAAAGCGUGGGGAGCAAACAGGAUUAGAUACCCUGGUAGUCCACGCCCUAAACGAUGUCAACUAGCUGUUGGGGGCCUUCGGGCCUUGGUAGCGCAGCUAACGCGUGAAGUUGACCGCCUGGGGGAGUACGGUCGCAAGAUUAAAAACUCAAAUGAAUUGAC
rnacentral:rRNA from 1 species